rnacentral:rRNA from 1 species
GUAGUAGGUCCCAAGGGUUGGGCUGUUCGCCCAUUAAAGUGGUACGCGAGCUGGGUUCAGAACGUCGUGAGACAGUUCGGUCCCUAUCCGUCGCAGGCGUAGGAAAUGUGAGAAGACCUGUCCUUAGUACGAGAGGACCGGGAUGGACGUACCUCUGGUGUACCAGUUGUUCUGCCAAGGGCAUGGCUGGGUAGCUAUGUACGGAAUGGAUAAGCGCUGAAAGCAUCUAAGCGCG